rnacentral:rRNA from 1 species
AACGAACGUUAGCGGCGCGCCUAACACAUGCAAGUCGAGCGAGAAAGGGCUUCGGCCCCGGUACAGCGGCGCACGGGUGAGUAACACGUAGGUAAUCUACCCCCGAAUGGUGGAUAACCCCUCCGAAAGGAGGGGCUAAUACAGCAUAAGAUCACGGUCUCUUCGGAGGCUGAGGCCAAAGCGGGCCUCUUCAUGAAAGCUCGCGUUUGGGGACGAGCCUGCGGCCCAUCAGCUAGUUGGCGGUGUAAUGGACCACCAAGGCUAAGACGGGUAGCUGGUCUGAGAGGAUGAACAGCCACACUGGAACUGAGACACGGUCCAGACUCCUACGGGAGGCAG